rnacentral:rRNA from 1 species
GAGUUUGAUCCUGGCUCAGAUUGAACGCUGGCGGCAGGCCUAACACAUGCAAGUCGAGCGGCAGCGGGAAGAUAGCUUGCUAUCUUCGCCGACGAGCGGCGGACGGGUGAGUAAUACCUGGGGAUCUGCCCAAUCGAGGGGGAUAACAGUUGGAAACGACUGCUAAUACCGCAUACGCCCUACGGGGGAAAGGAGGGGACCUUCGGGCCUUCCGCGAUUGGAUGAACCCAGGCGGGAUUAGCUAGUAGGUGAGGUAAUGGCUCACCUAGGCGACGAUCCCUAGCUGUUCUGAGAGGAUGGACAGCCACACUGGAACUGAGACACGGUCCAGACUCCUACGGGAGGCAGCAGUGGGGAAUAUUGGACAAUGGGGGAAACCCUGAUCCAGCCAUGCCGCGUGUGUGAAGAAGGCCUUCGGGUUGUAAAGCACUUUCAGUGGGGAGGAAAGGUUGAUGGUUAAUACCUAUCAGCUGUGACGUUACCCACAGAAGAAGCACCGGCUAACUCCGUGCCAGCAGCCGCGGUAAUACGGAGGGUGCAAGCGUUAAUCGGAAUUUACUGGGCGUUA